UACGGGGGGGGCAAGCGUUGUUCGGAAUUAUUGGGCGUAAAGAGCUCGUAGGCGGCCUGUUGCGUCCGCUGUGAAAGCCCGGGGCUUAACCCCGGGUCGGCAGUGGAUACGGGCAGGCUAGAGGUAGGCAGGGGAGAAUGGAAUUCCCGGUGUAGCGGUGAAAUGCGCAGAUAUCAGGAGGAACACCGAUGGCGAAGGCAGGUCUCUGGGCCACUACUGACGCUGAGAAGCGAAAGCAUGGGGAGCGAACAGG
rnacentral:rRNA from 1 species